UACGUAGGGUGCAAGCGUUGUCCGGAAUUAUUGGGCGUAAAGAGCUCGUAGGCGGUUUGUUGCGUCGGCUGUGAAAUCCCGAGGCUCAACCUCGGGUCUGCAGUCGAUACGAGCAGACUAGAGUGUUGCAGGGGAGACUGGAAUUCCUGGUGUAGCGGUGAAAUGCGCAGAUAUCAGGAGGAACACCGGUGGCGAAGGCGGGUCUCUGGGCAACAACUGACGCUGGAGGAGCGAAAGCGUGGGGAGCGAACAGG
rnacentral:rRNA from 1 species